GAUUAACGCUAGCGGCAGGCCUAAUACAUGCAAGUUGAACGGGAUUAGUUGUAGCAAUACGAUUAUGAGAGUAGCGCACGGGUGCGUAACACGUAUGCAACCUACCUAUAACUGGGGGAUAGCCUCCCGAAAGGGAGAUUAAUACCGCAUAACAUUAUGAAGUGGCAUCACUUUAUACUUAAACCUCAGGGGGUUAUGGAUGGGCAUGCGUUCCAUUAGGCAGUUGGUGAGGUAACGGCUCACCAAACCUACGAUGGAUAGGGGUUCUGAGAGGAAGGUCCCCCACAUUGGUACUGAGACACGGACCAAACUCCUACGGGAGGCAGCAGUGAGGAAUAUUGGUCAAUGGGCGAGAGCCUGAACCAGCCAAAUCGCGUGAAGGAUGAAGGUAUUAUGUAUUGUAAACUUCUUUUAUCGGGGAAUAAAGUGCACCACGUGUGGUUGUUUUGUAUGUACCCGAAGAAUAAGGAUCGGCUAACUCCGUG
rnacentral:rRNA from 1 species